rnacentral:rRNA from 1 species
UGGGGAAUCUUGGACAAUGGGGGCAACCCUGAUCCAGCCAUGCCGCGUGAGUGAUGAAGGCCUUAGGGUCGUAAAGCUCUUUCGCCUGUGAAGAUAAUGACGGUAGCAGGUAAAGAAACCCCGGCUAACUCCGUGCCAGCAGCCGCGGUAAUACGGAGGGGGUUAGCGUUGUUCGGAAUUACUGGGCGUAAAGCGCACGUAGGCGGACCAGAAAGUUGGGGGUGAAAUCCCAGGGCUCAACCUUGGAACUGCCUUUAAAAGCUGCUAGUCUAGAGACCGGAAGAGGUUAGGGGAAUACCUAGUGUAGAGGUGAAAUUCGUAGAUAUUAGGUGGAACACCAGUGGCGAAGGCGCCUAACUGGUCCGGUACUGACGCUGAGGAACGAAAGCGUGGGGAGC